AGCGAACGCUGGCGGCAGGCUUAACACAUGCAAGUCGAACGGGCACUUCGGUGUCAGUGGCAGACGGGUGAGUAACACGUGGGAACGUACCUUUUGGUUCGGAACAACUGAGGGAAACUUCAGCUAAUACCGGAUAAGCCCUUACGGGGAAAGAUUUAUCGCCGAAAGAUCGGCCCGCGUCUGAUUAGCUAGUUGGUAGGGUAAUGGCCUACCAAGGCGACGAUCAGUAGCUGGUCUGAGAGGAUGAUCAGCCACAUUGGGACUGAGACACGGCCCAAACUCCUACGGGAGGCAGCAGUGGGGAAUAGUGGACAAUGGGGGCAACCCUGAUCCAGCCAUGCCGCGUGAGUGAUGAAGGCCCUAGGGUUGUAAAGCUCUUUUGUGCGGGAAGAUAAUGACGGUACCGCAAGAAUAAGCCCCGGCUAACUUCGUG
rnacentral:rRNA from 1 species